rnacentral:tRNA from 1 species
AGUCCCAGCAAGAUCAAAGUGCAAAUUUGAAGAAGCACCCUAAAAGGUGCCGGGGCUU